rnacentral:rRNA from 1 species
GACGAACCGUGCGAACGUUGUCCGGAAUCACUGGGCGUAAAGCGCGUGUAGGCGGUUCGAUAAGUCUGCUGUGAAAGUCCAGGCUCAACCCUGGAAAGCCGGUGGAUACUGUCGGACUAGAGUGCGGAAGAGGCGAGUGGAAUUCCCGGUGUAGCGGUGAAAUGCGCAGAUAUCGGGAGGAACACCAAUUGCGAAGGCAGCUCGCUGGGACGUUACUGACGCUGAGACGCGAAAGCGUGGGGAGCGAACAGG